CCCUUCUCUCCUCCAAUCUCUGAUCAAUAUCCAGAGUCUUCCACCUCAGUGUCCUUAGUCCCUCUUUCCUCCAUCCGUGUCCUUGCUCUCCUCCUCCCGUCACCCAGGCCUUCUAGGUGCACCUCUCCGCAGGCGUCCUCUCAGGGCCCCCACUGCCUAUACACUCUCUCCUCCAGCUCUCACUCAUGCUCUCCCUAGACAUGCCUCUGUGUUCAGAAAGAGACCACAUUAAGAUGUGCAGCUGCACAGCACGGCACCCAGGGCUCACACUGGCGAUGAGCCACCGCGCAGACGGCAGCGAGGGCAGCCCCUCUCUGGAAGCCAACACCCAUUGCAGGAGACGACAUGUCAACCAAAGUUCACACCAGCCAGGGAAACAAGCUUGAGGAAGUGAGAAUGUAGCUGGGUCACCGCUAGUGUCUGCUGAGCAGUUUCUUGCCCAGGACCAUGAGAGGCUCUUGACAUUUAUCAUUCUCUUUUGCCUCUCACAACAGCCUGAUCAGGUACGUGCCCUCAUUGCCCAGAUUCACAGAGGAGGAAACCAGGACGUGGGGAUGCACGCGAACCUCCUCGAGGCUACACAGCCCUGAGUGUGAAAGGCUCGCCAGAUUUCAAAAGCUUCAACAUGCAGAAGGCAAGAUGGCGCAUUAAUAAUUUUUAAAAUACUGAUGGCGUGCUAAAAUGUCCGUAUUUGGGGUAUGUAGGGCUGAAUAUAUUGCAGGCAAUUGAACCUGGCUCUUUCCACCUCUUUUAACAUGACUACCCGGCACUUUUCAACCACAUAUGUGGUUUCCAUUCUGUUGUUAGCAGUGAUGCUCUGGGCUAAUUUACAGGCUUGGGGUUACUCCCCCUGUGCACAGCCUCGCUCAACCCCCCGGCCCGACACAGGGUGCCGCCUGCUUCCUUGCGGUCCGCCUUCUGUCCUGCGACCAACGUUUAGGCACCGCUGACCCUGCCACGCGCCGAGCAGCGCCAGGCCCAGAAGACAUGGCCGUGGUGACAGCGGGGCGCGUGGUGACGCUCGGCCUACCCAAGCUCUCCUCCGUGAAUCCCACCUGCUAUUCUCCAAGAAUCGGGCGAGGGGAAAGUUGCUCAAAAGAUUUGCUCGGUUGUCAGCUAUUACAGACACUUUGUUCCUCCUCCGUUGCUGGAAGCCGAGCUAUCCCAGCCUGAGUGGCAGGGCCCGGGCUGUGGACGGAUUGGUGACUGCAGGGCGGCCCGCCGACAGUGAAGCUUCUUGUACUCCCGCUUCUAGGUAAUUUGGCCUUAAAACUACCCGGGGUAUUGUCUGUCGGGGAAUUGCUCUCGGCAGGCCCCCUGGGAAAAGAACCAUUAGGGAAGAAAAUAAGGUUCCGCGAGAAAUUGUGCGGCCUUACAUUUAGCCCUCGCCAUCCCGUAUGGAGACUCCUCUACUUACGGGAAGGAUAGCCUCAUGCAUUUGCCAGCAAAGAGGGCCUGUAAAGGAGAGACAUAUGGAUUUGAAGGCCCCACUCCGGCAACUAAGGAGUGUGUCUCUGGGCACAGGUGACUUCAGCCCCUAGGCCCACCCGGCCCCCGGAGGCAUUCCAGAUGAUGACUGAACCUAGUCGCUUAAGCUACAGAAUGGUUCAUUGGUUCCUAGGUGCAUUGUCUCUCUGAGAAUGUAUGGGGCAUGGGUUUCUAAGGCCCUUUCGGCCCCUUCCUGGCACCUCGGACGAGGCAGACACAUUGUUCUUCUGGCCUCAUGUGGUUAGGAGGUCAUGUCCCUGUCACUGUUCCCCUUGAGGUGUUGAGAAACGGAGGGCCUCUCACGAGAACAGCAAAGCAAAUGCUUUCUGGAUUAUAGAUAAACGCAGAUGCAUAAUGGGAUAAUGUAAGAAAUUAAUCAAUAAUCAAAGGGUAUACAGGAAAGUUAGGGGAAAAUCACCAUGUUAUUUCUUAAAGGUUGUUUACGCAUAGGACCAUUUUCAAAAUUAGGUAAUGUUAGAAAAACAUAGAUGACGUAUGCUACGAGGAAAUCACUAGCAAAUAAAAUGCCACGUUUGCUACAAUAAACCGGCCAGUUCAACACA